CUUUCCAAGUAAAGUUCUGUGAUACACUCCGACUCUGAAUGUUUGCAGUCAGUGCAUUACAGAACUUUGUUUUGGGAGU